UACGGAGGGGGCUAGCGUUGUUCGGAAUUACUGGGCGUAAAGCGCGCGUAGGCGGAACGUUAAGUCCGGUCUGAAAGCCCCCGGCUCAACCGGGGAGGGUGGCUGGAAACUGGCGUUCUUGAGGGCGAGAGAGGAGGGUGGAAUUCCUGGUGUAGCGGUGAAAUGCGUAGAGAUCAGGAGGAACACCCGGGGCGAAGGCGGCCCUCUGGCUCGACCCUGACGCUGAGGCGCGAAAGCGUGGGGAGCGAACGGG
rnacentral:rRNA from 1 species